rnacentral:rRNA from 1 species
AUUGAACGCUGGCGGCAGGCCUAACACAUGCAAGUCGAACGAGUGGCGGACGGGUGAGUAAUGUCUGGGAAACUGCCUGAUGGAGGGGGAUAACUACUGGAAACGGUAGCUAAUACCGCAUACCAUCGGAUGUGCCCCGAUGGGAUUAGCUAGUAGGGGGGGUAACGGCUCACCUAGGCGACGAUCCCUAGCUGGUCUGAGAGGAGGACCAGCAAAACUGGAACUGGGAAACGGUCCAAACUCCGACGGGAGGCAGCAGUGGGGAAUAUUGCACAAGGGGCGCAAGCCUGAUGCAGCCAUGCCGCGUGUAUGAAGAAGGCCUUCGGGUUGGAAAGUACUUUCAGCGGGGAGGCGUUACCCGCAGAAGAAGCACCGGCUAACUCCGUGCCAGCAGCCGCGGUAAUAC